GAGAAACACACAUAGAUUGGAUUGGUUGCCUCCCGCAUGCACAGUUGCCUGGGAUCAAUGCCCUUAACUGGGAAUUGAACCUGUGAUCCUCGAGUGUAUUGGUCAUGCUCUAACUCUUGAGCAUCACUGACAGGGCUGAAGGAUACAAUUUUAACUACUGGGCAAACUCAAAAAUACAGAAUCUGCGAAUAAUACUUGACUGUGUGAACCUAUAUACACUUUCUAGUUCCUUUAACCAUGACCUUGAACAACUGGCAUCUUCAAUGUCAGUCAUUUCAUAUGAUCUGCCCUAGUCCAAAAUGGCACUGAUAAUAACAUUCCUCUUUUCUGUUGCUUAACGAAGUCUCUGUCCCUUAGGAUAUUUUUUCACUAUUUUUGUUUUAAAUUAGACCUGAGGUUUAAGGCUCCUUGCGAGUGUGUGGACCAGUCUCCAGUUUCCUUCUAUUGGACACCCUGCUCCACUGAGGCUUCUGCCUUCCACCCCUGCAACUUCCAUGGACACAUCUGCACGGGCCACCAGUGGUGCUGCUUCCACUUUACUUAGUGGAACCCCUUGUUCAAAGCGUAUGAAGGACCUCAAGAUGGAGACAGCGGAACAGGAAGCAAGAGUGAGACCCUUCAGUGUGUGGGAUGCCAAAAUGACACCUCACCUACCAGCAGCCCAGGAGCUAACCAGGUGCAGGGCUGGCUGUGCACAGAUGCCUCUCACAGAUGAGGAAACUAAGGACCAGAGGUUUAAACACGUGUCCAAGGACACAGAAAACGGGAGAGAAGAGAUAUAAACCUAGCUUGGUCUGUUUCCAAAGCCUGACUCUUAACCACAAUGCUUCAUGGCCUUGUGGCUUGUCAUCAAAGUGUUUUAUGAAUCCUGACUUGCCAACACCUCUGAGGAAGGAAAACAUACUUUGAUUUUCCAGAACAACUGGAAGAGCCACAGACAAUCUAAACUGGAGCUAGAAUUAGAAAGCAAUGUUUUCAUAUUCAAGUUCAAAUAUCAAAGACACUUGGGGGAACUGGCCAUCUACCCAUGGGAGACUGUGUAUACAAAGAAGCACUUUCCAUUCUCUUUGCUCCAGAUCACAUGACAAUGAGGCAAUGUCAUGUGACCUCCCAGAUAACCUGAUGGGGUGGAGGAUGUGUGUGUGUGUGUAGUGGCAGGAAAAUCUAAAACUUAGAAACAGAAAAUAGCAUGUUCAUCUUUAUCUUUGGUAAGGUAGAAAAUGAAGGAUUAUGUUUUCUUUUAUGUAGUGACUAGCUGACAUUAACAUUCUGAGUUGGAAACUGCUCUUAAUUACACAGCACAUUUAUUGCUUUAUCCUAACUGCUAUACAUGAUAAUUGACAGGGUCAUGAGCACUUCAGAAUGGCUAAGCAUGUUUCUGAAUAGUAUGUGCAACCCUGGAAGCCAGGAAUGCCACUGUUUGUAAUUAAGCCUGUGCUUUUCUAUAAAGAUAUGGAUUAUCUUGAAAAAUUAACUUCACAUAUUAAUAAUUCUUCCCCUUGAGUUGAAUUGGUAAGGCUUUUGAUUUGUCUAUUUUUGUGGGGGGAAAUAAGUCUCUAAUAGCAACUGCACAAAUUCCUGAGGCUUUCACAGUAUUAGUUGUGGUUUUAAAUAUUUGACAUUCACAUUAAAAAUGAAAACCAUCCGUUACAUAACUUUUUUUCUUUAAAAUUAAAAACUUGUUUUAAAAGUAUAAAAAUACUAAAAAAAAAAAAAAAAAAAAGGAUGGUAAUAACCAGGAUGUUAAUAUUAAAGCCAUAUAUCUGUUUUAACCAAAAUUUUUAGGUUCACAUAAAACUUUCUAAAAGAAACGGAAAGUUUGCACAUAACAGCCUAUACUUCUCAUCCAUGUAUUAACUUUUGAAGCUAUGACAUUUUAUGGAGUAAACUUUUGUUUUUCAAUUUAGAAAUAUUUAUGUGUGUCAUCCAAUACAUUAAAAUUUUGCCUAAAAUUAGAAUAAGUGAAUACAUUUCACAAAUGUAUUUCAAUACUAUUUGGCACAAAAUAGAAGAUUAAGUAAAGACCUUCAUAUUUCUGAUAGCUGUGUUAUCAGAAGUUCUCAAAAUAUGAACAACCUGUGUCAAAUUUUACUUAUACAUUAUUGAAGUGGUUGAAAUAUAAUGUACCAAUUUUACGGACAGAUAUUUUAGAAGCUGAAACAAACCCACAAAUAAAGAGAACUUGAGCAAAACCUCAGGUUUUGGAGGUCUGUCCAGAUUUUGUGAAUUUACUUAUUAAGCAUCAUGGCUGCUGGAAAUCGUCCAGAACCUACGGGGCUGCAGAAGAGCAGAGACUACGGGCGGAAGGAAGUCCGCCUGCUCUCCUCUGCGAGCAGAAGGAGCACAGAACUCUUGCUGUCAUUGCUAAACAGUCUCCUGAUUCGCUGGACAUACGGGGUGCAACAAUCUUAAGAAGAAGGAUGCGUAGGCAUUCCACAGAUCUGCAAAUGAGCAAACUAAAGCCCACAGUUCCUGUGGUUCAUAAAAUUCUUGUUCUAUUUGCUUUUCCUGCAUCUAUAAAAAAUCAGAAAUGAAAGUACUGAGCUCCUUGGAAGCUAAUACAUCAACCUGGACAGCUUCACAAUCAUAUCAGAGUUGAUGACAGGCUGGCUGAUUAAAUGUGCAGGGAUGGGCAAAUAGGUUACAGUUGUUCAAAUGGAAAAAUACCAAUUAAUAAAUAAUAAUACAAGGACAAA